rnacentral:lncRNA from 1 species
GUGCUUUUAUGGUCAUUAAUGGAAAUUAAAAUCUAAAUGAAUUUCAAAAUUAACUCACGUGAGUGUAGAAAACAAAAUAAAUCACAAUGAAAUCUCAUUAAUGCAUGUGUUUGAAGCCAUGUUUUAUGUAGUGCUGUGAGCCUGUGAGUUUCUUGAAGUCAAUUACUUUAACAUGCAGUGGGCUAAAGUGAUAUAGCCAGAUUUAUUAGUGGGCCGAUCAUUGGAGACAUCAUCACCAUAAUUCACAUGUGGGCUGGAUUUCUUGUAGCCACGUGAAUGUGCAGACUUCGUGGACUUGAGGGUUAUUUUUCUUUGAACAUCACAAAAACCACAUCUUCAACAUCAUUAAUUGGGCUGUCGGUGUUGACUUCUUGGGCUGCAUAUAUGCACGUGGAAUUGAGGGUUUGAAAAAGAGAUAUCACCAUCUCAAUAUUAAUAUAACACACACACAGGAGUCUUGAAGGCAGAGGGGACGCGCACAAGGCGGCUGUACACGGUUCAAGACAUGAUCGUCUAGGUGGCGUUCUUUAAGUGAACAAUUCGUAGGGUUUAAUACUUUUCUCAGUUUAUUUAUGUUUGGAUUUGUUUUGACAUUGACAACGUCGUAUAAACAAUUUGAUGAGUUGGUUUAUUUAUACUAUU